rnacentral:misc_RNA from 1 species
CUUGCUCCAGGGGUAAAGCAUGAAUAUAUAUAAAUUGAAAUUUCGCUGUUUCAAAAUCAGUGGUUUCGAGUUUAUCAUGUUGAAUAUUGCGUGUGGAGCUUAGGGUAUAUCGCCAGGAAAGCUUUUUGUGCUUUGGUAUUGUUUCUGCUUUUCAUUAUAUUUUAUAGCGAUUUAUCAUACAACACUUGACGGUUGUAAUUGGGAGGAGAGAAUGAUUGAAAAUACUGAACCAGCGACUCAUAAUGUGUACUCGGAUGGGUCAAUUCAGACUCACACCUCAAAUGGUGCUUUAGAACAUAAGCUGGAUGAGCUUCGACAUCUCAUAGGCAAAGCAGAAGGUGAUCCGU